GGGGAUUUAGCUCAGUGGUAGAGCGCUUGCCUAGCAAGCGCAAGGCCCUGGGUUCGGUCCUCAGCUCUG
rnacentral:tRNA from 1 species